UACGUAGGGUGCAAGCGUUGUCCGGAAUUACUGGGCGUAAAGAGCUCGUAGGUGGUUUGUCGCGUUGUCCGUGAAAACUCACAACUCAAUUGUGGGCGUGCGGGCGAUACGGGCAGACUGGAGGUAUGCAGGGGAGAACGGAAUUCCUGGUGUAGCGGUGAAAUGCGCAGAUAUCAGGAGGAACACCGAUGGCGAAGGCAGGUCUCUGGGCAUUAACUGACGCUGAGGAGCGAAAGCAUGGGGGAGCGAACAGGA
rnacentral:rRNA from 1 species